GGCGCCAGCUGCAGUUUGAGAUAGCAGAUUGGGGAGACAGCAAUACUAAUGUGUUGAAAAUGGAUGAGGGGAAAACUGUCCCAGAUUUUCAGGUGGUUCAGACAAAUGAAGGUAAGGAGGACAUCUUGUAGCAGCAGCAGUGACCAAAAUGAGGGUGAAAGCAGUCUACCAUGGAGUGGAAUAGUUAUAUAAUUCCUGACCUCAUACCAAAACUAUAUAGAGGAGAAAAUAGGACGACUUUAGAAGUUUAUGAGAUGACAUGAAAAUGAGACAUGAAAACAACCCAGGGACUACAAUCCCUCUCCAUAUUCUGCUUGAGGAAAUCAGAAUACAGAGAAUUUCAGUGGAUUUUUCAAGCUCAGACAAUUAUUAUUAAAGAAAAUCUUGAUGCUAAUGAAGAACACUGCAGUCUAAUUCAUCACUGAAUUAAUUUCCUGAGUAAGGAGGAGAAGGCAGUAUUAUUUUCAGGACAAAGAUUAGCUUCAUCGCUGCCAAAAGCUUGGUGUUACACUAAGAUGUUAAGGAUGUGUCAUUUUGGAAGUGAAUCACGGACAUAAUCAAAUUCCACUUCUGGCAGCAGAGAAGAGAAUACAGCUGUGUAUAACUCUGAGCUGGUUCUCUUAUUCAUGUACACCAUCUGCUUUCUGUUGCUUUAGAUAAAAUUUUUUAUUUCAGGAUUUAAAAAUGCUUUAAAUUCAAUAAUUAUCUAACUAGUGAAUCAUUUGAAAAAAGCAAGACAGAGAAAGCAUAAUGCUUUGUCUUCUAGUAUCUUCCAGUCUAAUGGUAUCUUAGUAAUGAGGUCUAGAUACAUGGUGACAUAACAGGUAUUCCUUUUAAUUAUCAGCCUGAGACAGAAUAAGAAUGGGACUUUCCCCCAACCAUGUCUCACCAAGGACUGCAAGCUGGUGAGGGGAAGGGCUCCUGGCCAGCAGAGACCCCAAUCAGAUCAUUCAAACCCUGCAUCAUAAUCUUGUGCACGGUGCCAUAGCCACUGACUACAGGACCUUGAAGAAGCUAAAAUUAGAAAUUUCCACCAUUAAUUCUUACUCAAGAGAGUCCACCCUAACUCCCACAUAUGCACAAGACCAGGAGAUGACCAACCCUUAACCUCAGCUUCAGUACUAAAAAUCGCAUACCAAAAAUCACACCCAGGGGUAGAGACUUAACAUGCAAAUGAGACAUGCAACAUAUGAAGAAGCAUGUUAUCAAACUGCCCAAGUGCUAACAGUUCCCUGCCUCUGCAUACCCAAACACCACUCCUUUCCCUCUGCAGCCCUUUUAAAACUGCCUUUUCAUCUCCCUCUGGGGAGCCAGCCAGAAAAUUCUCUCUGUCUCGUGCUGCUUCCUUUAUGCCCUGGUGUAAGUGCCAAUAAAGCCUUGUCUGGGAAAA